rnacentral:rRNA from 1 species
UACGGAGGGGGCUAGCGUUGUUCGGAAUUACUGGGCGUAAAGCGCACGUAGGCGGCUUUGUAAGUUAGAGGUGAAAGCCCAGGGCUUAACCCUGGAAUUGCCUUUAAGACUGCAUCGCUAGAAUCGUGGAGAGGUGAGUGGAAUUCCGAGUGUAGAGGUGAAAUUCGUAGAUAUUCGGAAGAACACCAGUGGCGAAGGCGACUCACUGGACACGUAUUGACGCUGAUGCGCGAAAGCGUGGGGAGCAAACAGG